rnacentral:tRNA from 1 species
GUUUAAAUAGUUUAAUACUAAAACAUCAGUUUGUGGCACUGAAAAUGUAACCUUAUUACUUUAAACC